rnacentral:misc_RNA from 1 species
UCUCAUUCUCAAUACUGAGGGUUGUUGUCAGCCUUUGUGUUGGAAAAUGAAGGUUGCUGGUCUUUACAUUCAGCUCCUUUGAAAUGUAUGAGCAGGAGAUAGGCAGAACCAGCUUCAGUUUGAUAGAUCUAGCUGUUGCUGGUGGAGCUUUCUUGAAUCCUGUCUUGUGUCUUUGACACUGUCCAAUUUAGAUGGACACACCUUACA